rnacentral:rRNA from 1 species
UACGCUGGCAGCGUGCAUAACACAUGCAAGUCCNAACGGGACUUACCUGUAGCUUGCUAUUGGUAAGUUUAGUGGCAGACGAGUGAGUAACACGUAAGAAAUCUACCCUUGAGCGAGGGAUAACCCACCGAAAGGUGGGCUAAUACCUCAUGCGGUCCCUUGGUGAAAUCGCCGAGGGAUUAAAGGCUUCGGUCGCUCGAGGAGGAUCUUGCGGCCUAUCAGCUUGUUGGUGAGGUAACGGCCCACCAAGGCUAUGACGGGUACCCGGCCUGAAAGGGUGAACGGGCACGGAGGCACUGAGACACGGGCCUCACUCCUACGGGAGGCAGCAGUGGGGAAUUUUGGACAAUGGGGGAAACCCUGAUCCAGCAACGCUGCGUGAGGGAUGAAGGCCUUCGGGUCGUAAACCUCUUUUCUAAGGGACGAAACCCCGCAAGGGACUGACGGUACUUUAGGAAUAAGCCACGGCUAAAUAUGUGCCAGCAGCCGCGGUAAGACAUAUGUGGCAAGCGUUACUCGGAAUCACUAGGCGUAAAGCGCGUGUAGGCGGAUGCCUAAGUCUGCCGUGAAAUCUCCCGGCUCAACUGGGAGGGGUCGGCGGAUACUGGGUGUCUAGAGUAAGGUAGGGGGCACUGGAAUUCCUGGUGUAGCGGUGAAAUGCGUAGAUAUCAGGAGGAACACCGAUGGCGAAAGCAGGUGCCUGGGCCUUUACUGACGUUGAGAUGCGAAAGCUAGGGGAGUAAACAGGAUUAGAUACCCUGGUAAUCCUAGCUGUAAACGACGAUNACUAGGUGUGGGAGGUAUCGACCCCUUCCGCGCCGACGCUAACGCAUUAAGU